rnacentral:rRNA from 1 species
CCAAUAGCGUAUAUUAAAGUUGUUGCAGUUAAAAAGCUCGUAGUUGAAUUUCGGGAUCAGAUUGUCGGUCGUGCCUCGGUACGCACUGGCAUUAUUGGUUCCUACCUUCUGAAGAACCGCGAUGUCAUUAAUUUGGUGUCACGGGGAAUCAGGACUGUUACUUUGAAAAAAUUAGAGUGUUUAAAGCAGGCGCACGCUUGAAUACAUUAGCAUGGAAUAAUGAAAUAGGACGUUUGAUUCUAUUUUGUUGGUUUCUAGGAUCGACGUAAUGAUUAAUAGGGAUAGUUGGGGGCAUUAGUAUUCAAUUGUCAGAGGUGAAAUUCUUGGAUUUAUUGAAGACUAACUACUGCGAAAGCAUUUGCCAAGGAUGUUUUCAUUAAUCAAGAACGAAAGUUAGGGGAUCGAAGACGAUCAGAUACCGUCGUAGUCUUAACCAUAAACUAUGCCGACUAGGGAUCGGAUGAUGUUGAUUUUUUAAUGACUCAUUCGGCGCCUUACG